rnacentral:lncRNA from 1 species
UUCAUCGGCAGCUGUACCAUCCCCCAGCUGUCUCUCUCCUCUCUCUCUCUCUCUCUCUCUCUAUCCCUAUCUCCUUAUGAGCCCACUAUUGCACCCAGUUGAAGAGAGGGAGAACAGUGGACUCAGCUGGGAUCGCUCGGCGGCGACCGAUGAACAGCAGGGUUCCUGGGAUCUUCCAUUAGCACGGUGGACUUUUGCUGUAAAAGCGAAGGGGCGACCGGGACAGAUCGAAUUAACUGGGCCAGGAGCUCUCUCUCUCUCUCUCUCUCUCUCUCUCUGCGCCAAAUUACGUCUCCACCUACCGUCCUAUGUCGAUGAAAAAGAGCUUCUGCAGCUUCCUCCAUAGAGCGAUCGCCGACAGAGUGGGAGAGAGAGGAGGUGAUUUGAAAGUCAACACUGCUGGCGUCGAUUAAGAACACACAGAGCUAUCCACGGGUCAAAAUUAUCUCUGAGACGGUGAGCGAACGCCCCGAGGAAAAUUUUCUGGCUUUGGAAGAUGGCCAGUACCUGGCCGGCCCUCCCUUCAGAAGCUUCCUUUGACUCCGUGCCCGUUGGCCGGCGGUGGUUUGACCGCUCAGUCACCGCUGUUACAUUGGUCGUACAGGUCGGCGGGAUACGAGAUAUCUUCUCCGAAACUCUCUCGCCGCCCUUCUUAC